rnacentral:lncRNA from 1 species
UUUUUUUUUUUACUUUCAGUAGUUAAAAGGCUUUUUUUUUUUUUUUUUUUUGUAAAUAGCCUCAUGAACAUGCAAAGUGGCAGAAGCAUAUUUGGAAUCUUUGUAAAUAUUUGUCUUUUGGUCUUUUCCUAGCCAGGGAGUUCUUGUCAGAGCUAUCAGCUCUGAUUUCUAAGCAGAAGUUUCUGUAGGCAAAGACUGCACCUUUACUACUGAGUCCGAAGUCACCACUGCGUACCCAGCUUGGUGGACUCCCUUUAGUAUGAAAUUGCUUCCAUCAGUAGAGUAUUCAAUGUCUGAGUCCCCGAGGGGCCGAUCUGGUACAUCUCUCUGGCUUGAGAACACUUUAUCUACCAAGUCCACACAGCAAUGAAGGGGGCCUCUUGGCACUGACUUGAUGAGGAGCAGUGUAGCUUGGUUUAGGGUAUUUAGUCUCUAAAGUCAGUUUAUUAGCUUUUUCCACGACUGCAUUCACGCCCGCGUCCAUGCCUUCUUGCAAAGCUAGCUUCUCUUCCUGUAAGCGCUGCUGCUAGUAAAUUAGCCUUUCUUAAGCCUCUGAUCAGCCUCCUGAUCUCCGUUAAUGUACACCUUGGUAGCCACUUUAAUAAGCUGAGUAGCAUUCACGCCUGCGGAGCUUCCAACUUCUGUAAUUUAUGCCCGAUAUCUCCUUGGGCCUGCCUUACAAAUGUCGUAUUCACCAUGUGCUGAUUUUCAGCAGCCUCAGGGUUAAACGGAGUGUACAACCAAAAUGCCUUACGAAGUCUAUUAUAAAACUGACUGGUGCUUUUAUUU